ensembl:lncRNA
GUUUAAAGUUUGAAAAGGAGGAAAAAAGGAGACUUGAAAUGACUGAAAACUGCUGAAAGACUUAAAAUGGCCAGGAAUUUAAUUAUUUGGCCUUCACUUUGUGUGCCAUGUCUGGAGAAAACCGUGGCACUGCACUUCUGAGAAAGCUGAAGUUUUAUAUAGCACCAAAAUAUUGAAUGUCAGGCCACUUUGAACUGUGAGAUCAAGACUGGAUUAGACAGAAACCCCAACAAUCCCCUAUGAGGAUGGUGAGAAGAGAGAGGGAGACCGUGGUGAGAAGGAAAUCUCUUUUCAUGAACAGAAGAUCCCAGAAGUGACCAGUUUGGGGACUUAGUUUUAUCUUCAUGUCAAGCAUUUAGAAGACUUUUACAUGGCAAGAAAGGCCCUGUGAUGAAUCUUUCCAGCGUGACAGAUUGGGAGCGUCCUUUCAUGUCUUUGACCCGCUAUUGAUCUUCUGAUUAAUCACAUGAGUUAAGGUGUGAAAACAGGUGUGGGUCACUCGAAGAGGAGUGAAAGAAGC